rnacentral:rRNA from 1 species
AUACAUGCAAGUCGAGCGGACAGAAGGGAGCUUGCUCCCGGAUGUUAGCGGCGGACGGGUGAGUAACACGUGGGUAACCUGCCUGUAAGACUGGGAUAACUCCGGGAAACCGGAGCUAAUACCGGAUAGUUCCUUGAACCGCAUGGUUCAAGGAUGAAAGACGGUUUCGGCUGUCACUUACAGAUGGACCCGCGGCGCAUUAGCUAGUUGGUGGGGUAAUGGCUCACCAAGGCGACGAUGCGUAGCCGACCUGAGAGGGUGAUCGGCCACACUGGGACUGAGACACGGCCCAGACUCCUACGGGAGGCAGCAGUAGGGAAUCUUCCGCAAUGGACGAAAGUCUGACGGAGCAACGCCGCGUGAGUGAUGAAGGUUUUCGGAUCGUAAAGCUCUGUUGUUAGGGAAGAACAAGUGCGAGAGUAACUGCUCGCACCUUGACGGUACCUAACCAGAAAGCCACGGCUAACUACGUGCCAGCAGCCGCGGUAAUACGUAGGUGGCAAGCGUUGUCCGGAAUUAUUGGGCGUAAAGGGCUCGCAGGCGGUUUCUUAAGUCUGAUGUGAAAGCCCCCGGCUCAACCGGGGAGGGUCAUUGGAAACUGGGAAACUUGAGUGCAGAAGAGGAGAGU